rnacentral:rRNA from 1 species
GAAUAUUGGACAAUGGGGGCAACCCUGAUCCAGCCAUGCCGCGUGUGUGAAGAAGGCUUUCGGGUUGUAAAGCACUUUCAGCGAGGAGGAAAACCUUAUGGUUAAUAACCAUGAGGCGUGACGUUACUCGCAGAAGAAGCACCGGCCAACACCGUGCAAGAAGCCGCGGUAAUACGGAGGGUGCAAGCGUUAAUCGGAAUUACUGGGCGUAAAGCGCGCGUAGGCGGUUUGAUAAGCGGGAUGUGAAAGCCCCGGGCUUAACCUGGGAACGGCAUUCCGAACUGUCAGGCUAGAGUAUGGUAGAGGGUAGUGGAAUUUCCUGUGUAGCGGUGAAAUGCGUAGAUAUAGGAAGGAACACCAGUGGCGAAGGCGGCUACCUGGACCAAUACUGACGCUGAGGUGCGAAAGCGUGGGGAGCAAACAGG